GAUGAACGCUAGCUACAGGCUUAACACAUGCAAGUCGAGGGGAAACGACAUCGAAAGCUUGCUUUUGAUGGGCGUCGACCGGCGCACGGGUGAGUAACGCGUAUCCAACCUGCCCACCACUUGGGGAUAACCUUGCGAAAGUAAGACUAAUACCCAAUGAUAUCUCUAGAAGACAUCUGAAAGAGAUUAAAGAUUUAUCGGUGAUGGAUGGGGAUGCGUCUGAUUAGCUUGUUGGCGGGGUAACGGCCCACCAAGGCGACGAUCAGUAGGGGUUCUGAGAGGAAGGUCCCCCACAUUGGAACUGAGACACGGUCCAAACUCCUACGGGAGGCAGCAGUGAGGAAUAUUGGUCAAUGGGCGAGAGCCUGAACCAGCCAAGUAGCGUGCAGGAUGACGGCCCUAUGGGUUGUAAACUGCUUUUAUAAGGGAAUAAAGUUAGUCUCGUGAGACUUUUUGCAUGUACCUUAUGAAUAAGGACCGGCUAAUUCCGUG
rnacentral:rRNA from 1 species